CAUGGAGACGCAUUUGAAGCAGUUAGGCCAAGUAAAGGAAUAGCGCAUGCUAAACUGCACACAUCACAAGAAUAUAGCCUGCAAGAUGUGGUGAGGGAGGUCGCGGAAUUUAGGAUAACCCGACUGACUGACGUGGAGAACGUGGAGUCACGAUAAACACUACUUCACCUAAGAGACUUGAGUAUCCAGUUCUUCGUUGACCUUCAGCAUUCAGUUGUUUGUCUUCACCUUUUCAGGCUAAAACCUGAGAAGCCAUCACCAUGUUGUUGUUUCACAUCAGAAUAAGUAUUUCACAUGAUGCAGAUUUUUCAGCAUGUGGUCCUCAAUAUAUAGUAUAGAAGUCACUGUAUUUUCUGACUUUUCCAGGUUUCCUGUGUCCAGCAUCUUCAAGACAGACUAAGCUAACUUUUCAUAUUUUUUGCACAUUUAUAUUUAGGUUAGGUUAGGAGUAGGUUAGGUUUAUAGUAGAGUAUUUAGUUUGUAUAGUUUAGCUUUUUAUGCUGGUCUAGGGACAGUUAAGUUAGCAAAUUAAUUCAGUUCAGAUCACUUACAGUUGCAUAUUAUUGUUACAAUUGUGUUAUUUUGUGAGUUAUUGUUGUACAGGCUAUUGUAUAUUGCAGGACCAAGUGAGACGAGGAAGACCACUGCUUCCAAGAUGCCGCGCUCAGAAAGUGCGUUGGACAAGUCUCGACCUUGCAGAUCCUGCCCCACUUAGCCCAACCACUUCCGACCAUGGGGUACCUCAAAGACCUCCGUCAACCAGCCGGCUGUGGAUGAUGGAUAACGCACCCACAACUCCUUCUCCAUUCUACAAGGUUCUGAAAAUACAGACACCCCCACAGUCCAAGAACAGCUGGAUGACCUCUGGACCCACUUGCCCCCGUUCACCAGUUGAAAAGAUAGUCUUUUUAAAAAAAUCUUUAAUUGUUAAUUCUGCACAAAGUGAUACACAAAACAUUGUAUGUCUUCCAUUUCAACAAACACAAACAUGAAAUGUAUAUUUAAAUACAUAACUUAAUGCAAAUCAAUCAUACUAAACAUCAUAUUCUUUUUUUUUUUAAACCAACCAUUGCACGCACUUCCAUCCAAGGAGAGGUUACAUCAUGAUGGUAACUUUUUAGAUUAACAAAACUUUUGUGAGAUUUGUAAUUGUUGUUUCUGGGAAGGGGGCGGAGAGGGUAAGUCUAAACAUUGCAUGCAAGAGACCAACACCGGUGUCUCAGGGGAAAGCUAUCUGUAUACACAAGUAUCAAUCUACUUGGUUGCUUCAAAAUUUUACGAUAGUUUUGCAAUUCCUGACCCAGAGAGAAGGACAUCAAACAAGCAAAAAAAACAAUGGUAGAUUUUCAAGGCCUUUCAAUGACAUUAACAUUAUUUUCAAUGACAUUAAUUUUGCAAUUAAUAUUAGUUUUAUCUUCUAAAACAUAACUAUAAUGACAUUCAAAUGUAGAUUACCACAAACACAAUAAUAAACUUCUUCAAGUCUCAUUGUAUAAAAUAAAAAAUUAUUGACAGUCCUGAAAUGAUGGGUUAAAC